GAGAUUUUUCUUUUUUUUUCUUGGAAUUCUUUCAUCUUCCAGUCAUUUUCGAAUCUACUCGAAUUUUAAUUAACUUUCGUUUACAUUUACUUCGAAACUUUACACAUUCUCGAGAUUUUUAGAAUUCUGUUAUCGAGAAAUGGUUAGAAACGGUCGGUACGAGAAUUACAUAGGAGAGAGGGGGGAGAGAGGGGAAGGGGAAUUUUUAGUAAUCGAGCGUAAGAGUUGGAAAUAGGGUCGUGCAUGGAAAUCGUUGGAAGAAAAGCGUACGAAACAACGUUUUAUUGCAUUUGAAAGCGUUUCAAAGGGAGAAGGAAUGAUCUUCCCUUCCUUCGAAUUCCAAUUCGAUCGAAUUGGCACGAGGGAUAUAUGAAAUUUAAAAUGAAACGGAAUAUGCUUUCUAGGCGAAUUUUCAAAGGGAAUAAUUGUGAAAAUCUUCUCGUUGACUGGAAAACGAUAAAUAAAACGUACGGAUUUAGUUGAAUGAAUAUAUUUAAUUAUACGUGUAAUUGUUUACAAAACGAAUUCGAAGUGUAUCGAAGAAAAACAAAUAGAUACCAAUUAUGAAAUAGCGAUAUUGCUGGCAAUAUUCGAUAAUAAAAUUACAAAAAAAAAUUUCAGUGAAAUUUAAAUUCUAUAACAUUCUUUUUAUUCUUCAUCGAUGCGCAACGAGUCUCCUUCAAAUGCUUUGAUUUUAAAACCUUUCUCAACGUCCAAGGAAGAGCGAUAAAAUAUUUAGACGUAAGAGUAUCUUUUUACGAUCGUUUUCCUAUCUUGAUGUCAUCCAAAAUUUUUCCAUUGACUUUAAAAUUUAGAUUUUCUACUAUACACGGUGUCCCAAAAAUAUUAGUCUUUGUAUAUAUUUCAAACAACUUUCGUUCCAGCUUUGUCAACGAGUUAUUAUUAACGAAAUAACAGAGCGCGUAAAACAGCCUUUAUGCCAGUGAUCGAGUUACUGUUUCAUUUGCCGAUAAGAAUUCAUUCCAUCCUCUGAAUCAGAUUGUUCGAAAUUGUUCUCACGUUCGAUUUUUUUUUAUUUUAAAUAACAAGAAAAUUUCAAGUAUCGAGAUAUAAAGGGCUUAAUAAAACGAACAAUAUAAAAAUUUUUAUUCGUCGUAACACUGUUUGUGGAACACGAAUACACGAAUCGGUGACACACGAUUGGCAAAAAGCAAACUAAACAAAAUUUUUGACACAACAAUUCGUUCACGACAAUUUGUCAUCGUCCAGAACCAUUCAGGACAGAGUGUCAUUGCUAAAAAAAAAAAAAAGGAAAAAAGGAAAAAAGCCAGCUUUGUGAAAAAUAUACAAGUGAACUUCGCCAUUUUUUCAUAUGAUAUGUAUAUUCUUUCUUUUUUUUAUUUCUCUCAAAAAGGAGGCAUCGAUUCUUCGAGAAAAAGAACGAGAAGGGAGGGGAGGGGUCUCGUUCGCGGGACAUUUAAAUUUUCCAUGAUUAACGUUUUCACCCUUUCCCUCAUUCGCGCCAACUUUCUUUCGUUUCACGUUUAAUCAAAGUUUAAUCCGUACGCCACUCCCCCGAUAAAUUUAUCCUUCCGUAAUUCGACUCUCUCGUUCAUACCCCCCUCCUCUUCCUUUCCAUUAAUCCCCUUGUUUUCUUUCUCAACCCGCGCCUGUGUUUUCAUCAUCUGAUCAGUCGACGUAUCCUUUUUUUUUUUUUUUUUGAAUACAAAUUCUUCCUUCCUUCGAUCUCACCAUCGAAAAUUAAAUGGAUCAUUUCAAUGGAUUUUUCAUCUGAUAUUACAUCCAUUAUAUUUGUUAUAUACAAUUUGAAAUACUAUCCAUCGAUACUAUCUUUUCUUUUCUUUUUUUUUGUGGAUAUUUAAAUUUUGUUACGAUUAUAAACUUUGGAACUUUUGGCACACUAGUUAUAUUUCUUUCAAUUAAUUCUUUUUUUUUUAUGGAUAUUUAAAUUUUUGAAAUAAAUUUUGGAACUUUUGGUGGCGCGCACCACAUCUCUAAUUUUAAUUCCGCCUUCUUCGAUAAAAACGAUGUAGAGAAAAUUUAAGCAAGCUUGCAAUUUAAUUCGCAAAAUUUAACCAUGCUGCGAGUGAAAAAUUUUUUUCGAGACAAAGAGUUACUAUACAAUUUUGAAAGUAUCGAUGAUAAGUCAAUUUUAUUUUUCGACGAGAAAAAAAAAUCUACAUGUAAUUUUACGAAAGCUGCCUUCCCCCAUAACACAAUACUCGGGAUUUUAAUUCGUGACAAUUAAUUACGCUUUGUAAUUAAUUUAAACUUGGCAGCUUUGAGGGAAACUGGAUCGACGAAAUUGAGCUUUUUCAAUAAAAAAUCCAUCGAAUUCACAGUGGGCACGGUGGAAACCUUGAUAUUUCCAAUGGCGUUUUGCAAUGCACGCAUUGAUAACGCGGCUCGAUCAAUUUUCUCGCCCUCGCAUUUAUUAACAACGUGUGGCAUUCGCGCGUGUUUAUCGGUAUCGGUCGAUCCGUGUGAAUCGAGAGUGAGUAUGUACGUGUGCGUGUGUAUGUGUGUACGUGUUAUCGGGAUAACGUGGAGAGGAGAGGAAAAAUGAGAGCUAAAUUAAAAAUAUUAUACAAAAUGAAAAUAAUUUACGCGUGAAAAUAUCGCGAAUCCUCUUUGCAAACUGAAAUAACGUCGAUUUAUUUAUUUAUUUUUUUUGUAUCUUCAAUCUGGUAGAUUUUUUUUUCGUGUCUUUUUUCUCUUUCUUCAUAUGAUUCAUGUUCGUUGGUAAAAAAAAAACAAGAAGGAGAAUCAUUUCUAAAAGAGAAGAAAAAAAAAUUUUAGAAGAAAAAUUCGAAUUGCAAAUUUUCUCGUUCGGGAAAUUUUACAUCAUUUUUAUGAAAAGCCCGAAGGCAGUAAUCAAUAGCUCGUAAACCGAAUAAUAUUCAUUUUUGAUAUUAAAAUCAGAAAGUUGAUUAAUUCCGGUAAUUAAAAGGUUCGAUCGAUUUUUUCAAUAUCGUCGGCAAUACUGGUAAAGUAAGGUAUCCGUAAGAAGUAUAAUUCUUAUUGAACCAGUCCCAUGAUAAAUUCAUUUUACAAUCCAUUAUUGUACUUUAGACUCAUAGACUUGUGAAUAAAGUAUAAAAUAUUACGUACACGAGAUUUAAAUAAUUUUAAAAUUAGAUGUAUAGAAAAGAAUGAUACGAUUUAAAAAUUACGAAGAGGCAAAUUAAAUGAUCGAAAAUUCGAAUAUAUAGAAUCCUUCUAAUAAUAUACAAUCGAUAAUUCGAUAAAUUAUCGCAAUAAUUAUUAAUCUAUCGUUCGCGAAUAGUUAGAAAAAUACGUAAGAACAUUACCUAUGUCAAAAUGUCAAGUUGAAAAUUCACAUUUUCUAAAAACUUAUCUAGAGAAUUCCAUUAAUAAGAAGAACAUCGUGAUUCAACAAAUUUUCACGCAAAUCGAUUUACUCGAACGUUCUCAAAGCCGAUUAAAUUAGUACAGUUAGUUAUUUCUCGUUUGCGGUUAAAGAGCUUCUAGGGAAUUUUGGGAAGGAUGGAAGACAGGAUAAGUUGGCAGAUUCCGAUAGGCGAAUCAACGAGGCUUGGGAUCGUGCAGGGAUUAUUGAAUGGAGGCUGGCAUGUUUGACAAGCAGCGUUUUAAUUUAACGUCGAUUAGCGGAUCCUGGACGGGGGAUUAUGGCCCGAUUAACAGUUACAAGCAGGAACAAGCAGGUCCGGCAUAUUGUACGUAUCCACUCGUGGCAAAGCCAGCUGCUGCAUACUUGCUUUGCCCUGCGUUCUUGCUAAUUGCGUUCAUCGGCUGGACGCAACACUGUGCAUUGGGAUUACUCGUGAUACAUGCCACCGAUAAAACGCUUUCAAUAGCGCACGCGCCAGUCGGAGUGAGGUUAUGUUAUCGCGAUCUCUCCUUCCUCGCUUGAGGCCAAUUAAACGAAACUUUCGGUCGCCGGAAAUUCAAGCCUCGUCGAUGAUUAGACGUUACCGAUACAAUUAUUUCGAUUCGAUGCCUGUCCGCCGAAGAAAUAUUUCGCCUUUAAAUAUUUUUUUAAUCGGAUUCAUUGGAUUGAGAGACUGGUUUUGGAUUUGUGAAUGUAAAUCAAUUUCUUGCAAUGGAACAGACUUGUCGAUGUAAAAGUUCCAUUUAUUGAAUCGUUACUAAGAAGAAACUAUUGUUGCUUACGAUUUCACGAUUCCUUCCACCGUUUAAAAUCGAUCAUUGAAACUUGCAGUCGUUUGGAACUCGAGGCUCGUCGAUUAUUAGAGGUUAUGGAUAUAAUUAAUCGAGUAACGAGGUCAAAUAAUUAACGGAGCGAAUUUGUAUCGAAUAAUUUGAUAAUACGUAUAUUUUUAUAGAUUUGAAAUCCAUCGGAUUAAUGAAGAAGUAAUUUCAAUUUUAUAAAUGUUAUAAGAAAGAAAAUAUUUUUAUGGAUUUCAGUAUCCAUUGGAUCGAUGGAAAAAUAAAUUUUUCGCUUUGUACGAGUGAAAAAUAAAUCCAUUCGUUACACAGUUUAAUAAAAAAAUUGCACUUAUAGAACUAUCGGUGCAUAAAGAACCAUUGUUACUUUCUUCAAUUUGAAGAUCAAUUCAAAUAAAACGAAACUUUUAGUCGUUGGAAAUUCAAGUUUUUGAUCUGUUGUUACAUUGAUAGAGAAGUAUUAUAUAUAAAACGUAGAAAACAUUUCGAGAGAAUCGGAAACGUUUUAAGAUGAAUUAAUCUCGAACAAAUAUUGUUGAAUGAAACUUUUCAUAGCGGAAGUCUUGAUUUAAUUUGCAUUCCGAUUACAGAUUCUCAGUAUUGUUGCACAAACAUUAAACACGUAUUCGAUGAUGGAAUAACCGAGACUAUACGAGGAUCCUCGAAAUCGUAUGCUGUGCACUUUCUAAUUAAUUCGACUCAAAUAUAUGAUGUCAUUUCAUGCAUCCUUUGUAAGUACAUACAUACGAUAAUCGAUUCGGACCAAUUACAAAUUUUUCUCUCAACAUAGAAUUUCUUUCUCUAUAUUUACAUUAUAAAAUUUCUUCUUUCUUUUUCUUUUUUUCCCACGAUUAAUUACGUAUUCUCGAAAAUUCUCUUCGAUUUGCGCAGAUCGUUUUACGGCAAUUAUUAUCCUUCCUUAGUUGGCAUAAUACGGUGAGUUCGCCGUUCCAACCGCUAAUCACCAUAAUUUAAUAAGAUCGUAAAAGAUUGAUUGACGGUAACAAUUAUCGAAUAAUGAAACAGACUUGAACGGUAGACGAAGUAAGUGAUUUAUGAUAAUAAAACGGAGCAACGACCUCGUGGAAAAUACAACAAUUGAUCGCAUAUCAAACUCGCGAUAUCAAAAUGCAAACAAACGAUAUAUAAUCUUUGUAAAAAAAAAAAAGAAAAAAGUGAGAAACAGGUAUAUUUACAAAAUAAUACUAAAUUAAUAAUAAAUCGAUAAAUUAACGAUGUU